UAUGAACGCUGGCGGCGUGCCUAAUACAUGCGAGUCGAGCGAACAGACGAGGAGCUUGCUCCUCUGACGUUAGCGGCGGACGGGUGAGUAACACGUGGAUAACCUACCUAUAAGACUGGGAUAACUUCGGGAAACCGGAGCUAAUACCGGAUAAUAUAUUGAACCGCAUGGUUCAAUAGUGAAAGACGGUUUUGCUGUCACUUAUAGAUGGAUCCGCGCCGCAUUAGCUAGUUGGUAAGGUAACGGCUUACCAAGGCAACGAUGCGUAGCCGACCUGAGAGGGUGAUCGGCCACACUGGAACUGAGACACGGUCCAGACUCCUACGGGAGGCAGCAGUAGGGAAUCUUCCGCAAUGGGCGAAAGCCUGACGGAGCAACGCCGCGUGAGUGAUGAAGGUCUUCGGAUCGUAAAACUCUGUUAUUAGGGAAGAACAAAUGUGUAAGUAACUAUGCACGUCUUGACGGUACCUAAUCAGAAAGCCACGGCUAACUACGUG
rnacentral:rRNA from 1 species